rnacentral:lncRNA from 1 species
AGUGUUGUUGUGUUGAUUACAUGUCCUCACAUCUUCUAUGGUAUCAUGUUAUUUACUUCUUAAUGUUUUGGCUUAUAUGAAUCUAUAUCUUGGAACAUGAAAUUUGAUAAAUAUCUUGGAUAUUGUUAAACUAUUUUCCAGUUGUGUUUUGGAAGUCUAUUGUCCGUGAUCUUGUUGUGAUUUUUAAUCAAACCAUGUGGUUUGAGUGUUCUCUACUCUGUUAUGAUGACAAGAUUGGUCGUGAUGUCUAUGUCAGCCUAGCUAUGUGCUCUAUAUGUUGAGUAUUUUUUUGUCUUGGGUGUUGUUAAAUUGUCUUUUGUUUGCAGUCUCUAUGUCUGCUUGUCUAUAAUCUUGUUUGUGUGGUUAGUUGAACUGUGUGGUUCAUGUUUAACCAUCAGUGUUGUCAAGAUUUUUAUAUGUGACAGCAUUGUAUGUUAUCUCAAGUGAGAUGUAUUUUUCCUGAUUGCAAAUUGUGUAAUUGUGUGUUGAAUCAGGAUGUCUUUGGCUGUGUCUUGUUGUCUUGUGUAUGUCUCAGUAUUCUUAGCCUUGUGUAUGAGAUAUUAAAUCAUGUGGUUUUGUAUUUCAUUAUUUGUUUAGGCUGAAAUUGUUGUCUGAUAUAGAAGUGUGUACUUCUCGUUUAUUUGUGUUGAUAUGAAUCUUGUGAUUCCAUAUUUCUUGAAAAAUUGUAAAAGUUUUUUAUCAAGUCAAAUUUGACUUUGAGUUCUUCACAAGUAUAAUUGUUUGGACUUGGUUCCAAGUUCUUAAAAGUCAUGUGUUUUUUAGUUUAUAUGAUAUACAUGUGGUAUUGUUGGUGAAUUGUGUGAUUCAUUGUUUUCAGACUUUGUUCUGUGUUAUGUCGUUUUUUUGUGAACCUCUAGUUUAUUAGAAAUGUUUCUGAAAGAAUUCUAGUAUUCUAUUGUAGUCUGACAAUUCGUUUUGAAUCGUGUGAUUCAAUUUUGUGCUCAUGUCUUGUGUUGUUGUAAAGGUUUUUUUGGUAAAAUCAAAUGAGUCUUUAUGAUUUCUUGACUGGUUUUUUGUUGUUCAGAUAUGGGUCUGAAAUUUUUAGACAUGCGACUUUGUGUAUAGUUUAAGUAGUUGAUUCUUUUGAAUGUAUAGUCAAAGUCUAUUGUUCAAUUAAAAUUUCUAAAUCUUGUCAUAUGUGAAUUCUUGUUAUAUCAGUUUUAGUUUUUGUAUGGUUGAAGAUUCAUGCUAUUCUUGUUCGUUUUAGACCUAGUUGAGAGUUGUGAAGAUUGUUCGAUGUUGUGCUGAUUGUUUACUUUAUGGGUCUUUGUUUGUCAGGGUUGCUUCUUGAUUUAUCUGAGUCUUUAUUAGAUCAGUUUAUGAGCGUGAUAAAUGGUUAUCGAAUCUUGUGAUUUUUUUUACAGAAUCGUUCUGCAUCAUGUGAUCACUUCUUGGUUUCAAUACUGUCAAAAUUGUUUUCUGCAUAUGAUCCGUAUAUCAUAUUGUAUGAUUGUCAUAUCUCAUGAUUUGAAUAGGUUUAAUGUGGUAUGAGUUCAAGCUUGUCUCUUGUGUGUAUGUAGUAUUAGCCUUGUACUUUUCUCUUCCGUAAGAGAUGUGUUUCUGGUUGUGUAUUUUGCCAGAGUCUGUGUUGGCUAUCGUUGUUUGGUAUUUUUUAAUCCUAACAGUUUAUCUGGUCUGUUGUCUGUUUGUUAUGAAGAGUUUUUUGAUUUGUUGUUUGUGUUUGUGUUGUUCUACUUCAAGGAAUCUCAUGUCUUGUAGCUUGUCAGAGUUAGGAUUUUGGUUAAAAUUCUUGGUUUUUGGUUAAAAAAAAAAUCCUAUUUUUUUUUGUUUCUCGUGUUGUUGUGUAUAUGGCUCUAUUGGGGUUGUAAUUUGUAUUGUAUAGUUUUUGGUAAAUACUUGGUGUUAAAUGCAGUUUGCUUAAAAUCUAGUAAAAGUGUCAAAUUAGUUUCUUUGAAUCUUGUCUUUCAUGAGGUGUCUUAACAUGUGAAUUAGAUCUGUUUUUAAAAAAAUUAUCUGUGGUGUUAUUGAUCCUGUUAAGAUUGUUUCAGUUUGUAAAAUUGCUGAAGGUUAAGUUAUUCUGUGAUAGUUUGUCUGUCAUUUCUAUAUCGUUUUAAUCCGGUAUUUCAUGAACGGACUAAACAUUUUGAGAUUGAUUUGCAUUUUCUGAGAGAAAAGAUUGCAAAUGGUAUUGUUCUUUCUGAGAAAGUUGCUUCUGAUGAUCAGUUGUUGAUCAGUUGGCAUACCUAUUCACGAAAGGGUUGAAUGGGUUUCAACAUCAGGAUUUAUGUGAAAAGUUGGGAAUGGUUAACGUGUUUGCUGUAUGAAUUAUGGGGGGAUGUUAAAAUGUAACAUUAUGUUAUCCUAAUUCAUACAUCAAAUAUAAUACGUUACAUGUUCAGUGGGUUAUUUGUAUAAAAGUUAAUCUGUUCUAUAAGUUGUAUGGGCUGGUAAGUUGUAUGGGCCUUGGGCUUAUUUGUGUGUUAAGUGUGCAGUUUUGGAAGAUUAGGGGGCAAAGUGAAACAUGGGCUGUUGCUGUUAUAAAAAAGGAAAAGUUAAGUGUAUCUGGAUGAUUCUUACACGCCUGUUUCUCUAAUCUCACCUACCUAUCCUUCUUUAGUCUGUUACAAGUUGUUCAAGCAGCCGUUACAAGUCGCUGAUGAUGUUGAUGAUCCAAUGUGGAUCUUAUUUCAGU